AUUGAACGUUGGCGGCAUGCCUUACACAUGCAAGUCGAACGGUAACAGGUCUUCGGAUGCUGACGAGUGGCGAACGGGUGAGUAAUACAUCGGAACGUGCCCAGACGUGGGGGAUAACGAGGCGAAAGCUUUGCUAAUACCGCAUACGAUCUAAGGAUGAAAGCAGGGGACCGCAAGGCCUUGUGCGUUUGGAGCGGCCGAUGGCAGAUUAGGUAGUUGGUGGGAUAAAAGCUUACCAAGCCGACGAUCUGUAGCUGGUCUGAGAGGACGACCAGCCACACUGGGACUGAGACACGGCCCAGACUCCUACGGGAGGCAGCAGUGGGGAAUUUUGGACAAUGGGCGAAAGCCUGAUCCAGCAAUGCCGCGUGCAGGAUGAAGGCCUUCGGGUUGUAAACUGCUUUUGUACGGAACGAAAAGGCUCUGGCUAAUACCUGGGGCACAUGACGGUACCGUAAGAAUAAGCACCGGCUAACUACGUG
rnacentral:rRNA from 1 species